CGGGGGAGCAAGCGUUGUUCGGAUUUACUGGGCGUAAAGGGCGCGUAGGCGGCGCAACAAGUCACUUGUGAAAUCUCCGGGCUUAACCCGGAGCGGCCAAGUGAUACUGUCGUGCUAGAGUGCGGAAGGGGCUACUGGAAUUCUCGGUGUAGCGGUGAAAUGCGUAGAUAUCGAGAGGAACACCUGCGGCGAAGGCGGGUAGCUGGGCCGACACUGACGCUGAGGCGCGAAAGCCAGGGGAGCGAACGGGAUUAGAUACCCCGGUAGUCCUGGCCUUAAACGAUGGAUACUUGGUGUCCGGGGUUACAUAGUCCCCGGGUGCCGGCGCUAACGCAUUAAGUAUCCCGCCUGGGGAGUACGGUCGCAAGACUG
rnacentral:rRNA from 1 species